UACGGAGGAUCCAAGCGUUAUCCGGAUUUAUUGGGUUUAAAGGGUGCGUAGGCGGUCUAUUAAGUCAGUGGUGAAAUACUCCAGCUUAACUGGAGGGGUGCCAUUGAUACUGAUGGACUUGAGUGAAGUCGAGGUAGGCGGAAUUGACGGUGUAGCGGUGAAAUGCUUAGAUAUCGUCAAGAACACCAAUAGUGAAGACAGCUUACUAGGCUUAUACUGACGCUGAGGCACGAAAGUGUGGGGGAUCAAAACAGG
rnacentral:rRNA from 1 species